rnacentral:rRNA from 1 species
UUUUUUUUUCGAACUGGCGGGAGCGUUACCGAGUCAACUCCCAAACCCAAUGUGAACGUUACCAAACUGUUGCCUCGGCGGGGUCACGCCCCGGGUGCGUCGCAGCCCCGGAACCAGGCGCCCGCCGGAGGAACCAACCAAACUCUUUCUGUAGUCCCCUCGCGGACGUAUUUCUUUACAGCUCUGAGCAAAAAUUCAAAAUGAAUCAAAACUUUCAACAACGGAUCUCUUGGUUCUGGCAUCGAUGAAGAACGCAGCGAAAUGCGAUAAGUAAUGUGAAUUGCAGAAUUCAGUGAAUCAUCGAAUCUUUGAACGCACAUUGCGCCCGCCAGUAUUCUGGCGGGCAUGCCUGUCCGAGCGUCAUUUCAACCCUCGAACCCCUCCGGGGGAUCGGCGUUGGGGAUCGGGACCCCUCACACGGGUGCCGGCCCCUAAAUACAGUGGCGGUCUCGCCGCAGCCUCUCCUGCGCAGUAGUUUGCACAACUCGCACCGGGAGCGCGGCGCGUCCACGUCCGUAAAACACCCAACUUUCUGAAAUGUUGACCUCGGAUCAGGUAGGAAUACCCGCUGAACUAAG